GUCCCUUCGAGGGCAUCCGGUAAAUUGGAACGAUACAGAGAAGAUUAGCAUGUUCCCUGCGCAGGGGCGGAGCUAUAGUGGUGAAAGGGUGGUAAGAUGAACAUCCUU